AUACUUUGGUUUCCCCUCAGAUUAUAUAAACCUUUUGCCUUUUAUUAAUUGUUUUGUGGAGAAGAACAAUUCUGAGUCUUAACCCAAUUUUUUGAGGUCAGGCUUAAUAACAGUUC
ensembl:snRNA U5 U5 spliceosomal RNA